rfam:Lactobacillus vini DSM 20605 Scaffold1, whole genome shotgun sequence.
AGAAAAAAGCAGAAGCACCCGCUUCUCGCCUGACAGACAAAAGCCUGUGGGCCGAUGAACGAUAAUAUAGUUUUGCUGUGCGGGUAGCUUUGGUCGAAGCUACCCGUUUUCUGCUAC